CCUCACUGCCUCCGGUGGCUGCUGGGAUACCGGAGGACUCGGGUCCCGGCUCGACUCAGUCCUCCAGCCGCCCGGGGAAUACCUCUAGUUCUUCCCGGCCGCCGCCGCCACCGCCCCGCCGCUUCCUCCUCCGCCCGCCGGCCUCCUUCGCCCCGCCCCGUCCGCGCAGCGCGUCCGGCCCGCCCGCAGGCCAGCUUCUCUCGGGAGCCCCCACCCAGGCGCAUGGCUCCAUGAAGCAAGAAGAGGAGGCAGAGCGCGAGAGGUCCCGUCCGCCCCAGCCGCGUCUGGGCCAGGAGGAAAG
rnacentral:antisense_RNA from 1 species